rnacentral:rRNA from 1 species
GCACAAGCAGUGGAGCAUGUGGUUUAAUUCGACGCAACGCGAAGAACCUUACCAGGGCUUGACAUCCCCUGACCGCGUAUGAAAGUACGUUUUCACCCUCGGGUGACAGGGAGACAGGUGGUGCAUGGUUGUCGUCAGCUCGUGUCGUGAGAUGUUGGGUUAAGUCCCGCAACGAGCGCAACCCCUACGUUUAGUUGCUAACAGGUGAAGCUGAGCACUCUAGACGAACUGCCGUUGACAAAACGGAGGAAGGUGGGAUGACGUCAAGUCAUCAUGCCCCUUAUGCCCUGGGCUGCACACGUGCUACAAUGGCUGGCACAAUGGGCUGCGAAACCGCGAGGUAGAGCGAAUCCCACAAAGCCAGUCUAAGUUCGGAUUGAAGGCUGAAACUCGCCUUCAUGAAGUCGGAGUCGCUAGUAAUCGCGAAUCAGCACGUCGCGGUGAAUACGUUCCCGGGCCUU